rnacentral:lncRNA from 1 species
GUCCGCGGUCCGCCCCAUGUUUGACGUUAUUUAACUCUCAAGCACAUUAUAAAAAAACUAAUCGUUUCACUCCCGUAGUGUGGAUUUCGGCUGAAGGUGGAAUGGAAUUCGAUGUUUUUCGCUGACAAUUUUUGUUUUCUUCUGGUGUAUUGUCUACACAGUUGGCAACAGAUUUUUAGUGGGGAGGAGGGAGCCAAUCAGAGACACACCUCACGAAACAAGCUCAUCGUGAUUGGCUGGAUUUCCUGCGUCUCCUCUGUUUUGAUUCCCUGACCGAAUGCAUUGAAGUAUUGUCAAAAGUGAAGUUUCAACGGUUUUUCACCAUGUCGUCCCGUAUCAGAAGUACUUUGGGCACAACGCAAACAAUGAGGACAGCCAACCAGGAAAAUAUUCCAACGAUACUGGAGGGAAAGAAUGUUCAAAAUGAUCCAGUGAGAUUGACAAAGAGGCCCGCCUUAGUCACAACAACAAACACCAUCUCACAACAGCAAGCAGCAGUGAAUGCAGCAGCUGCAGCUAAAGAGAAAUCAAAACUUGUCAAGAGACCCGUUCUAGCUGAGCGGAAACCGAUCGUUACUGCCCGCAACCCCAUCAGAGCUAGCGCCAAGCUGCCUCAACCAUCUACCGUCACUACCUCCAGGCCUUUAAGCAGAACAAGUAAUUUACCAGUUCCCUCCUCCCGAUUGCCGACCGGUAGCAGUAUUUUAACCAGAAAAACCCAGCGUGAGUUUAAUGUCAAUGACUCUCAGUUUUGAAGUUAACAGUAAAGCCAUGAUUGCCUCUGCCUUAAUCGUGAUCCUUAGGGAUUAACUUUCUAUCAAGCUUUCACUAAGCUCAUUCCAUCAAGCACUUGUGUUUUUACAGAAAAUUUUCGGCAUCAUGUAAGAAGGAACCCUCCAGAAUUUUAAAGUCUUUUCCCACCCUCCAACUUCACUCUUUAGGGACACAUGAACAUCAGGAAUUAUGUUGUGAUUUUGUACCUGAAUGAUACAACUUUUCUGAUAAUGUUAUCAUGAAAAUGGUCAAAGUUUGUGUUGUCAAAAGCUUAGUGUAUCCAAGGUCUUCUU